GACGCAGUCUGAUCCAUUCAUUCCGCGUGCAGGACGAAGGCCUUCGGGUUGUAAACUGCUUUUGUACGGAACGAAAAAGCCUUGGUUAAUACCCAGGGUCCAUGACGGUACCGUAAGAAUAAGCACCGGCUAACUACGUGCCAGCAGCCGCGGUAAUACGUAGGGUGCAAGCGUUAAUCGGAAUUACUGGGCGUAAAGCGUGCGCAGGCGGUUGUAUAAGACAGAUGUGAAAUCCCCGAGCUUAACUUGGGAACUGCAUUUGUGACUGUAUAGCUAGAGUACGGCAGAGGGGGAUGGAAUUCCGCGUGUAGCAGUGAAAUGCGUAGAUAUGCGGAGGAACACCGAUGGCGAAGGCAAUCCCCUGGGCCUAUACUGACGCUCAUGCACGAAAGCGUGGGGAGCAAACAGGAUUAGAUACCCUGGUAGUCCACGCCCUAAACGAUGUCAACUGGUUGUUGGGUCUUCACUGACUCAGUAACGAAGCUACAGCGUGAAGUUGAACGCCUGGGGAGUACGGACGAAAGGUUGAAAUUCAAAGGAAUAGACGGGGGACCCGGACAA
rnacentral:rRNA from 1 species